rnacentral:rRNA from 1 species
UUCGCCCUUAGAGUUUGAUCCUGGCUCAGGACGAACGCUGGCGGCGCGCCUAACACAUGCAAGUCGAACGAGCGAGAGAGAGCUUGCUUUCUCGAGCGAGUGGCGAACGGGUGAGUAACGCGUGAGGAACCUGCCUCAAAGAGGGGGACAACAGUUGGAAACGACUGCUAAUACCGCAUAAGCCCACGGCUCGGCAUCGAGCAGAGGGAAAAGGAGCAAUCCGCUUUGAGAUGGCCUCGCGUCCGAUUAGCUAGUUGGUGAGGUAACGGCCCACCAAGGCGACGAUCGGUAGCCGGACUGAGAGGUUGAACGGCCACAUUGGGACUGAGACACAGCCCAGACUCCUACGGGAGGCAGCAGUGGGGAAUAUUGCACAAUGGGGGAAACCCUGAUGCAGCGACGCCGCGUGGAGGAAGAAGGUCUUCGGAUUGUAAACUCCUGUUGUUGAGGAAGAUAAUGACGGUACUCAACAAGGAAGUGACGGCUAACUACGUGCCAGCAGCCGCGGUAAUACGUAGGGGGCAAGCGUUAUCCGGAUUUACUGGGUGUAAAGGGAGCGUAGACGGAAUGGCAAGUCUGAUGUGAAAGACCGGGGCUCAACCCCGGGACUGCAUUGGAAACUGUCAAUCUAGAGUACCGGAGGGGUAAGCGGAAUUCCUAGUGUAGCGGUGAAAUGCGUAGAUAUUAGGAGGAACACCAGUGGCGAAGGCGGCUUGCUGGGCUCUAACUGACGCUGAGGCUCGAAAGUGUGGGGAGCAAACAGGAUUAGAUACCCUGGUAGUCCACACUGUAAACGAUGAAUGCUAGGUGUAGGGGGUAUCGACCCCUUCUGUGCCGCAGUCAACACAAUAAGCAUUCCGCCUGGGGAGUACGGCCGCAAGGUUGAAACUCAAAGGAAUUGACGGGGGCCCGCACAAGCAGCGGAGCAUGUGGUUUAAUUCGACGCAACGCGAAGAACCUUACCAGGUCUUGACAUCCACUUAAACUUACAGAGAUGUAAGGUGUGCUUGCACAAAGUGAGACAGGUGGUGCAUGGUUGUCGUCAGCUCGUGUCGUGAGAUGUUGGGUUAAGUCCCGCAACGAGCGCAACCCUUAUCUUCAGUUACUAACGCGUAGAGGUGAGGACUCUGAAGAGACUGCCGGGGACAACUCGGAGGAAGGUGGGGACGACGUCAAAUCAUCAUGCCCCUUAUGACCUGGGCUACACACGUGCUACAAUGGCCACGACAGAGAGAAGCGAAAUCGCAAGGUAGAGCGGAACUCAAAAAAGUGGUCCCAGUUCGGAUUGUGGGCUGCAACCCGCCCACAUGAAGUCGGAGUUGCUAGUAAUCGCAGAUCAGAAUGCUGCGGUGAAUACGUUCCCGGGUCUUGUACUCACCGCCCGUCA